GACACGGAUUGCAGGACAAAAGUAUCAAGCAAUAUAAAAGUAGAGACCCUAGAAAACCCCAAAUAAAGAAGAAAACAUGAAAUACUGAAAAGACUAAAUAAGGAAGGACAGUUGUGAUAUCAGUCUUCCUCGGACUCGGACUCAGCACUCUGCAACCAGUCGAUGAAAGGUUUGACAUUCUUCCAAAUUUUCGAGUCCUUUUUAACCCCAAUAACACCCUCUUGAUACCACUGCUCUAUAGACUCCUCCUCCAAUACAUCCGCAUCAUACAAAGCUUUCAAAACGAGUGCUACUUCUUUCACAGCUGCCGGGUUAGAUUUCCCACAGAACUCUUCCAGUGCUCUGAGCAAAAACAGCUGUGACCCAUCCUCUUGACCAACAGCAGCAAGAAGGUAACCUUUCUUCUUAAUAAGCUCCUUGGCGAAUGCUUUCUCCACACCAUCCAAGAGUGCCUCAUAGACAGCAUUAACCACGUCCUGAGGAGAUCCAGAAAGUGAACCCAAGAAAGAUCGAAAUUGGCUGGCCGUAGCUCCCUUCUUUAGCUCUACUUUUACCUCCUCGACAAGCGUCUCAAAUGUUCUCACUACAUUCUCAGCUUUGGGAUCAUUGUCAGAUGGUGCAGAAACGACCUUGGUACUUUGAUGCGCUUUAGUAGUAGCUGCCUUGGGCUUCUUCUCUGUCUCAUUUGUGGACAGCAUAACCAUUUCAGCUGUCACAGCACUCAACUGUUCUUGUAUGCGCUGUUGCGCAGCUUCCAUUGAUGUAUCAGUUUGCCAUUGAACAUCAUCAUCGUCUUCUUCCUCCUCUUCCUUGACAUUCACAUGCUUUUUGGGUGGGGAUGCAUGAUCCUCAUCAGAGCCACUGGCUUUCUUUUUCAAGGUAGGCUUUGCAGUGGCUUCCUUGGAAGAAACCUUUUUCUUCGUUUCUUUCUUAAGCUUCUUCAGCUCUUCAUCAGCA
rnacentral:misc_RNA from 1 species